UAUUGCUUCACUUUAAGUACAUUUUCAUUUUACAUACAUGCUCUGAUACCAUUGUGUACUUAAAAGUGGGGUAUGCCUGUAUAUCGAUAAUAUUCCUUUGGAGCUGUUAACUAACUUAAUCACUAGAGAGAUGCUCUUGGUUACAUGAGAUUUUAAGACAAAGUGUAGUAAUGAUUUGGGAUCUGAGCAUUCCUGGUCAAUUUUAGCUAAGUGAUCAUAUGUGGUUUGGGG